rnacentral:rRNA from 1 species
AACGAACGCUGGCGGCAUGCCUAACACAUGCAAGUCGAACGGAACCACCCUGCCUUUGUGGGGUGGUGGGCUGGCGAACGGGUGAGUAACACGUGAGUUACCUACCAUUGCCUUUGGGAUAACUUCAUGCCGCUGGGGCUAUUCCCGCCUAGGAGCUCUCGCUUCUUGGUGGGGGUUGGUUAGUUUCGGCGGUUGGGGAUGGACUCGCGGCCUAUCAGGUUGUUGGUUGGGUAGUGGCUAACCAAGGUCAUGAAGGGUAGCCGGCCUGGGAGGGCCACCGGACACACUGGGACUGAGAUACGGCCCAGCCUCCUACGGGAGGCAGCGGUGGGGAAGAUUGCACUAUGGGCGGAAGCCUGAUGCAGUAACGCCACGUGGGGGAAGACGGCCUUCGGGUUGUAUUGCGAUUCCGCUUUUGACGAAGCGAGAGUGACGGUAAUGGGUAAAGAAGCACCGGCUAACUACGUG